UGACGCCAUGGAGCCCUCUAGAGGCUCCAACUCCACUUACGAGUGAGGGCCCCAGCAACCCAGCGUAGGCACGGUGCGGGCGCGGCGGACCUGGCCGCUCCGAUCCCGUCCAUCCUGGCAGGGGCACCAGCGGCCCUUGCGACCCCGCCGUGCCCAGCGGUGCGGGCAGUGGGCUCGACCUCCACCACACCUUACCCAACCGCGCUGCACCGUUCGGCUACCUUGCCGUCGGCCUGACCCUGACUCACUCGCCAAUCGUCAACCUCCAACCAGCGUGAAGCCCGUGAAUUCAUUCCAAGUCACAUGCUUAUGCGUUCUCCUUCAAUCAAUGCUUUUCCAACUUCCUCUACCAGAACAUGCAGGCAAGGCACUCGAUUAAAUGCCCCUCCUAAGAUACUGCAGCAGAUUUGAAGUACAAACUGCAGUAUUCCAUCCUCCAUUUAUUUAAAAUGUUCUAUGAAUUUCAUGGUUCCAUGUUUUGAGUAUAUUGAUCUGCUACAAUAACAUUGAUUUUCAAAUAAAAUAGAGUAUGCAUUAGUCAUAUCAGAGCCAUGGGAAGAUUAAAAACAACCAUCUACAAAUAGAAAUUCCAAUGGAGCUUUUUUUUUGAGAAAUAUCAAAACCUCCACUAAUUUUUUCUUACUUUUUUGUACUCUAUAUAUAACUAUUCUAUAAACUAGGAGUACAGGCAGUAAGUACUGUUCUACUAUGUUUCUUCCGCCGGUCACCAUUCCAGAGGAUUUGAGACAUGAUUUAUGUUCAUCUUAUCUUAUAUAAAUAAUACACCUCUUGUAUGAAUGUUACUUGAUCUGCAUGAUACUAGAUUUAUUUAGUUAAUAUUAAUCCUAGAAGGAUGCCAUUAUAGCAUAUACUAAAUGUGCUGGCAGAAGAUUAUUUCAAAUGUCUACUCAGUUGUUUGUAGUUUGAAUCCGUGAAAUUGUAUUCUUCAGAUCCAACAACUUUCCAUGUUCAAAGCGAAAAUGUUGAGUGAAAGUAGAAAGGUGUCCCAAGAAGAACAAGCCUCGAGAACAAAUCAGCUCUUCAAGAAAUAAGGCACGAUGUACUUAGCCAUGAAGACUUAGGAUGAUCGGCAAAUUUCUCUAAUUUCUAUGUAGUGAUUUGAAGAGAAGACUUUGUAUGAUCGGCAAUUUUCUCUAAUUUCUAUGUAGUGAUUUGUAAUUAUCCGUACAAAGCAAAUAGUAUGUGGCUCAGGUGUGUGCUAUGGUAGUUCAAUAAAAUUUAUUAUUGUACCGAUGAUUUAAUAAGUUAUAUGAAUCACUGUCACAGCUACAUAUCCUGGACUGGUCCUCAACACAGAGCACUGGUUAAUUCUAUUUUUUGAACACUGACUCUAGUUAUUCAGAAAACGAGCUUACAUCUGAAGUCUGAACUCAAUCUGAUGUUCAAUUGUGUUUUAAUCUGAAUCUGACGAUGUUACGUUUUGCACAG
rnacentral:lncRNA from 1 species